CUGGAACAGAGGCGCCCAAAGACCGCGAAGAGCUGCAGCAUUUGACUGUGCUUAUCGGAUCAAAACCGUAAGCCUAUCAAUACACAUUGAGAACAGUAUUCGCCUGCAACCGACGUUUCGUUCCUUGCGAUGAUUUUGACCAGUCGCAAGGAUAGGGCGACGCACUGAUUCCAGCUCACACCUUGACAUGAAUGCUCGCGCCGUCCUGUCGUCGCCAUGGCUGUUCGUAGCCCUCGUAGCGGUAGCGUUGUUGCUACUGCAGUGUGAAGGAAGCAAUGGCGGAAACUCUACGAGACAACGGCCAACUGCCGUGCCCACUCAAUCAGGCGAAGAUGAGCCAACGCAAGGCACAGCAUGGACCACAACGCAGUCACCGCCGCAGCCGUCGUGUGUCCAGCAACGCCGGACUCCCAGCCUGCGGGAGUUCUGCGCGCAGAUUUUCCGCUUUGUGGCGGACGCAGUGCUGGAUGUCUUCUUCACGGAUUUCCUUGGCUUGACGGGAAGAUUCUAAAGGUGCAGCGGGCAUGCCACUACACCCUUGGGCGUCGAAUGCAAUUCGGGCAGUGAAAGUUCACUUAGGAACUUCAUGCAGCGCCUUCAUGAGAAGCUUUAAAAGAGGAGCGACGAAGCGUGUUUCAUUGCAUCAUUGACCACUGCCAUCACCAACAAUACCAACGAGAGCCACAAAGAGCCCCAUUGAAUGAAGUGUCAUUUUGAGUGUGCCUUUUUGUAUGCGUGGACGCUUAGCUGCACUAAAUGACUGCUACGUAGUCAAGCUAUACUUACUCAACUGUCAAAUAAAUUCUUCAGAAGCUCCCAACUAUUGUGCAGGAAUA
rnacentral:lncRNA from 1 species